rnacentral:rRNA from 1 species
CCCCUAGAUGUUCUGGGCCGCACGCGCGCUACACUGAACAGUUCAACAAGUCUUAACCUUGGCCGAUAGGUCUGGGUAAUCUUUGAACGCUGUUCGUGACUGGGAUAGACCUUUGCAAUUAUGGGUCUUCAACGAGGAAUUCCUAGUAAACGCAAGUCAUCAGCUUGCAUUGAUUACGUCCCUGCCCUUUGUACACACCGCCCGUCGCACCUACCGAUUGAAUGGUCCGGUGAAAUCUCGGGACGGCGGCUUGGUCGCCUGCGUCCGACUGCUGAAACUUGAUUAAACCAUAUCAUUUAGAGGAAGGUGAAGUCGUAACA